rnacentral:rRNA from 1 species
UACGGAAGGCAGCAGUGGGGAAUAUUGCACAAUGGGCGAAAGCCUGAUGCAGCUAUGCCGCGUGUAUGAAGAAGGCCUUAGGGUUGUAAAGUACUUUCAUCGGGGAGGAAAAAACAAAACUAAUAAUUUUAUUUCUUGACGUUACCCGAAAAAGAAGCACCGGCUAACUCCGUGCCAGCAGCCGCGGUAAUACGGAGGGUGCUAGCGUUAAUCAGAAUUACUGGGCGUAAAGAGCACGUAGGUGGUUUUUUUAAGUCAGAUGUGAAAUCCCUGGGCUUAACCUAGGAACUGCAUUUUGAAACUGAAAUACUAGAGUAUCGUAGAGGGAGGUAGAAUUCUAGGUGUAGCGGUGAAAUGCGUAGAUAUCUGGAGGAAUACCUGUGGCGAAAGCGGCCUCCUAAACGAAUACUGACACUGAGGUGCGAAAGCGUGGAGAGCAAACAGGGAUUAGAUACCCGU